AUAUGUGUGGUCCCUUCAAAUAAAUAGAUAUUGAGUAACAAAUCUAACCAGAAAAUUUUGUGCACUCAGAUAUGUGAGUGGAGCUUGAGGAAUCUAGGCAAAGUACUUUCGUCAAGAAAUUGCAGCAGGUUUUGCGAAAAUUCUUCUCAAUGGAGACAUGAAAUGGCUUUCGAUGCAGAAAGGAGUAGACUUCUAGUGACAUCUGGUUUAGAAAUGGCACCAAUAUACCAGCUUCAUGGUAAUAUUGGCAUGAGAACUCUUCGUCAUAAGGGAUCGAUCACAACAGUAGAUUGGCAUCCACGCUUGCCCAUCCUCUUGACAGGGUCAUCUGAUCAUUCUGUGAUGGUCACAUCAAUAUCAUCAAAGUGAUAAUUCCUUUUUUAUUUGGUUCCGGCGUAGAUAUGUUUGAUUAGUUCUUGAUGUAUACUACUACUAUCUGAGGUUUUUCAGUGACAUAGUCGGACUCGGAGUAGGUAAUAUUCAAGGUUGCCUUGCUUUGUAAAACAAUUUGGUUAUUGAAAUGUAUAUGAC